rnacentral:rRNA from 1 species
GAUGAACGCUGGCGGCGUGCCUAAUACAUGCAAGUCGAACGCAUUGUGGUUGAAAUGAUAUGAAGAACUUGUUCAGAUUUGAUUUUCAACAUUGCAAUGAGUGGCGAACGGGUGAGUAACACGUGGGAAACCUACCUCUUAGCAGGGGAUAACAUUUGGAACCAAAUGCUAAUACCGUAUAAUAAUUAAAACCGCAUGGUUUUAGUUUAAAAGAUGGUCUUGCUAUCACUAAGAGAUGGUCCCGCGGUGUAUUAGUUAGUUGGUGAGGUAAUGGCUCACCAAGACAAUGAUACAUAGCCGAGUUGAGAGACUGACCGGCCACAUGGGACUGAGACACGGCCCAUACUCCUACGGGAGCAGCAGUAGGGAAUCUUCCACAAUGGACGAAAGUCUGAU